rnacentral:lncRNA from 1 species
UUUUAGGGUUACAGAAAGAGAGAGAUGAAAGUUUGUGAGGCAUCUGAAAGCCAAGAUGAAGAGGAUGACGGUGCUGGUAGGGUUUUAAUAUAUCGCAUCCAUGAUUUACCAGAUCAGGUAGAUUUCUUUUUUAUUAAAAUUUGACCUUCAUCUUAAUUUUUCGACAAACCUUUGAUAAAUUAGCAAAUUAGCCUUUGAGAAUAUAUAUGAUUCAUAUGUAUUAAUUAAAACUUUUGAUCAGCUGCAUAUGUUAAUUUCAUCUACGUGAUUUUAAGUUUUUGGAAUUACAGAUGAAAAUCUCAAAGAGCGUGGUCUGAUCAACAAAACACCAUUGUUUGGGGGUCUCAGUUGAACCGCUGAACCACCCUUCAGGAAUCCGGUACCGCAAAACCUCUUCUGCUGUUUGAGAGAAUGGUACCGGUGACAAAGAGGCUCGUAGAGCGAGAGCCGUCAAGACUGAAGUGCAAGCGCAUGCUCUGAAUGGCGGACUGCGACUCAAGGAGACUCUUCUGAGUUCUGACCCAAUCAUCCGAUAACAACAACAACGCAUUCAAGAGACACUCUCAGUUAAAGAGAAAGAUCAGAAGCAAACAUCUCAAAAGGAGGACAUUGUUUAUAUCUAGUCUUAAUCUGAACCAAGCUGUUGGUCCACAACUCUCAAUUCAUUUGCAAGUCCUAUAUAUGUUAUUUAGAAGUUUAAAGUAGAAAAGAUACAUACAAGACAUAUAUAAGCCUUCUGUGUAUUUUGGCAUAACGUACCCUUCCUUCAUCUAACAGUAAUAAAUCAAUGUCCUUGCCUGCCUGCCUAAGAUUUUACUUGUACAUUGAUGUCUAAUUUUUAUGUCAUUUUGUGUUACUAAGUUGGGUGUUUCAUUGUUGGUUGAUUUCUUACGAGACAUGCAUAGCAAUAGGGUUGCUUAAAUAUUCG